rfam:Gossypium raimondii Chr08_contig_859, whole genome shotgun sequence.
AACCCAUGGUGAGGGCACCGUCUCAAUAGAUCCUUGUAUCCCUCCUAUGCAUCAUACAAAGUCUCCAAAUUGAUCUGCACAAAAGAGGAGAUGUCAUUCCUCAACUU